rnacentral:lncRNA from 1 species
AUGGAUGAAUAUAACUUUUUAAGUUCAACUAGUCUCAAAGCCGUGUGGUAUCUACAUGUGAAUAACCUGAACACUUCCAUGAAAACCACUGAUAAUAAUGUUGCAAAAAAUAGAAGACAGAUCUUGGUGCCCUUCUGUAGAGAACUUCUUCCAGUUGGUAUCAAUACAUUAAUAAUUAUUUAUAAUAGUUUCAGAAGAUCCAGGAAUUUGAAGCAGGGGAAAACCAGUUAGCAGUGAUGUCUUACAAAUAUGCCUUCCUAAGUUGCAGAAGGGAUAUCCCUUCUGCAGAACCCUAGCCUCCAUUAUUGUGCCAAAUACCUAAAAAUGUUCUGUGUUCUAUAACAUUUUAAAGUGCAUUUCUUACACUAAGUUCCAUGUGCUGACUUUUCUUUUUGGUAGUGAUUCAAUACUGUAUAUAGUUUUACAUAAGAAAAUCUCCCCUUUGAAUAAGUUUUAGAAAUCAUUGUGGGAGUUGGGAUGGUACAGAGUAAAGUCUGGACAGUAAUUUAGAAAUAUAUUAUCUCAAACAUUUAAAAAUCAUUCUAUAAAAUAUAUUCUCUAAAAAAACAGAAAAAGGAACAAAAUUGUCCUUAAAAACAAAUGUUUCUUUUUUAACUCAGUUUCCCCCCAUGCUUUCACAUCUCUUGACAAAAAUUCUCAACUCUUUAACUCCUGAAGCAAUAUAUUGUUGUAUCAUAUAUGAAACUUUUACUCUGAAUAAGCUCUGUGUCUCUAAUCAUUUAUAAAUUGAAUUCAAACAGUUGGUAAUUCCAAAUUGUGAGAAGUCCUCCUUAAUGCCUCCUAUAGGGCAGCAUCAAAUUUCUGUAUGCAACCAGAGAGGUGAGUUUUAUUAGCCAAGUAUUCCGGUUUAAUUUAAAAAGUAAUGCUUCAAAUGGCACUGGAAAUUUUCUUUUCCUGAAUGAAACCUUCUAGGAGCUGCAUAAAAUCAUACCAUGGUCCAAAUGUGGCCCUAAGGAAAAUUGGUCAUUUCAGUUUACAAUUAAAUCUGUAUUAGUCUUUUACUUUUAUAAAAUAGACUACCACAUGUAUGAAAUAUUUUAUCAAAGAAAAGUA